UCAAAAAAAUGCUUUUUCAUAUUGGGUACAUCCCACUAAUUAUUUUUAGAAUCGGUAGGAGAAGAAAGUAGUGCAGAAAAAAUUACAAGUUCCUUAAAUUGCAGACUUGCAUAAAAAAAAUUGGGCAGGUGUACUGAACUGAGCCUCACACUUGUUGAUAAGGAGUAUCUUUCCUACCAAAAAAGCUUUGAAAAUGUAAUUUAUCAAGAAGAUCAGCCGAAUUAUUUUGUGUAUUAUAACGCCAGUGAGAAUUCUGAAAUUCCCCUACUUUCACUUUCAUUUUUAGAGGUUCCCGCAGACAGACGCAUUUUGCCGGAAAACGAAUCUGACAUGCCACCUCGAGAUUUUAACCAAGGAAAGACAAGUUGAUGUGCUUUGAUUUGAGGGGUCACUCACUACCGAACGAAAAUUAGGGACAUCGCUGUGGGAAGAAACGUUAACAUUGUCGCCUAUGGGAAAACAAUUAGUGGACUGUACCCAUAUUAGGAAGCCUGUAAGUUCAUGGUGAUUGGUACAGGAAAAACAUGAGGUCCAUGCAGAUGGUGUUUAAAACUAUUGGCCAGCAAAUGCACACCAAUUGGAAUACAUCUUGAAAAAGAACCAUCAAAAUGUGACAGUCGGCAAAAUAUAGGUUCCCGCAGACAGAUGCAUUUUGCCGGAAAACGAAUCUGGCAUGCCACCUCGAGAUUUUAACCAAGGAAGGACAAGUUGAUGUGCUUUGAUUUGAGGGGUCACUCACUACCGAACGAAAAUUAGGGACAUCGCUGUGAAAAGAAACGUUAACAUUGUCGCCUAUGGGAAAACAAUUAGUGGACUGUACCCAUAUUAGGAAGCCUGUAAGUUCAUGGUGAUUGGUACAGGAAAAACAUGAGGUCCAUGCAGAUGGUGUUUAAAACUAUUGGCCAGCAAAUGCACACCAAUUGGAAUACAUCUUGAAAAAGAACCAGCAAAAUGUGACAGUCGGCAAAAUAUAGGUUCCCGCAGACAGAUGCAUUUUGCCGGAAAACGAAUCUGGCAUGCCACCUCGAGAUUUUAACCAAGGAAGGACAAGUUGAUGUGCUUUGAUUUGAGGGGUCACUCACUACCGAACGAAAAUUAGGGACAUCGCUGUGAAAAGAAACGUUAACAUUGUCGCCUAUGGGAAAACAAUUAGUGGACUGUACCCAUAUUAGGAAGCCUGUAAGUUCAUGGUGAUUGGUACAGGAAAAACAUGAGGUCCAUGCAGAUGGUGUUUAAAACUAUUGGCCAGCAAAUGCACACCAAUUGGAAUACAUCUUGAAAAAGAACCAGCAAAAUGUGACAGUCGGCA